UGCGGUGGCUCUUGUCGAUGCUGAGGACGAAGAGGUUGAUGUAGGCGUCCAGCGAGAACUGGUACAUGGGGUCGAUGCGGCCCAUGUCGUUGAGCACGAAGAACAGAACCGACGCCCUCUGGGCACACGGGCGCUGCUCGGUCACCUCGGUGGCGGUCAUCUUGGAGGUACGAAGGGUGUUCACCAGCUGCACGUCGUCGAGCAGGGAGCCCGUGGCCUCAUUCAGCAGCCUGAAGGGAAGCGCAGCUCCGGCCGCUCCUUCCGGACCACGAUGCCCAGCAGCUGAGCCUCCAGGCCCUGGGAUCACGGGGACGCGCGGUGGGACUCGCGCUCUGGUGACGGCACACCCCUGACACCCGGUCACGCCUCCCCCCACCUCAUCCCCUGCCGCCCAGCGCAGGGGGCCUUUGUCUCCACCCCGCCGACUCGACUCUCCGGGUGCUUCCUGCUCCUCGCUAGCUGGGUCCAGGCUGCAGCCCCCGCCCCCACCUGUUCCUUGACAGCAAAGUUGACGAUGGUGGUCUUGGCCGAGGUCUCAGGGCUGUAGUGGGGGUUGGAGAGCUUGGUGGUGAUGUAGAAACGGAAAUUGGUGUUGUACUCCACCUCCUUGUCUGCAAUGCGCAUCAGCAGCCGGCCGCCUGCAGCCGGGCCAGGGUCAAGGGCAAAGGCAAAGGAGCCCUGGUGACCAGGUGUGGGCUGGCCCAGCCCCCAGCCCGCAUCCAGCUGCUCUAAUGGGCCCAGUCCGGGGCUGUGGGAGCGGAGGGCCACAGUCUGAGGGCCGGCCCUCCCCCCCAACCCCUCACCUCGUGGCCCAGCUGGCUGGUCUCUAGGAUUUGUCCCCCAGCCCAACCCCACAGGAAGCCUGGACCCUCACCGAUUCGAGCUACAGAUUUGUUGAGCACAGGGUUAAGCGUGGGGUCCAGAUACUCCUGAACGUUCUGGAGCAGCACUGGAUAUCCAAACUGGAUGGCCUUUUCUAGAAUUUGAAGGGCCUGGGCCUGAGGGUCAAUCAUCAGUGCCCACCUGAAGGAGGGUGGUCAGUCAGAAGACAGGCUCCGCCCUUGCCCCGCCCCCGCUCCCGGCAGCCUCCUUACCUGUUGCCUCGGGUGACGAUGAUGCCAUUCUCUGUGGAAAAGGCAUCCGAGGGCAACCCUUGGAUGUUCCAGUCUCGAACUUUGGUAGGAUUGGACAGGAAGUUAUCGAAGGUGAAGCGCGGUGAGCACGGCACCUCCAGCUCCCAGAUCUGGGCGGGGAAGAGCCCCGGACGUCAGCCUGGAGGCCCGAGCCCCGAGCCCCGCUCCCCGCCCCGGGGCCCCUGCCCCCGGCCCCGGCCCCGGCCCCUGCCGGGUGUCUCCCCGUCCUCCCCGCAGCCCUGGUCUCGGAGCCCAAGAGCUCACGAGGACCUGAGCCCUGCCUCACCUUCCUGAUCCAUAUCUGGGUGACGAUCUCAUCCCGGUAGUUGGUCAGGAAGGGGCCCAUGUAGGACAGGAAGGCGGCGGCCAGGAGACAGUCACCUACCAGGUAGCCCAGAUCCUCCUCCAGGCCCUGGGUGGGGGGGCGGGGGGCGGGCAGGGGGUGUAAGGAGGGCCCCGGGCACUGGGGAGCGCUGGCUCUCUCCGCACCGCCCCCCCCCCCCCCCCCCCCCCCCCCCCCCGGACACUGGCUCCAUCAAAGAGGCGCUUUGUCCUAAACCUUCGGCCCUGAGGAGUCCAACCUGGUUCUAAUCCCUUCGGAGUUGCCGUCUUUCAAGUGAUCCUGUUUACAUUCUGCGCGCCUUCUCGCUGGCCAGCCCUGACACCAGCAAGCCCGCUCGCUCCAGCUUCAUUUCCAUGUCCUCGGACUUCUUGCGGAGCUCCUCCUUCUGGGCCAGCUUCUCGUCAUACUGCUUCUUCAGCAUCUCUAGCUUCUCGGCCACCUGGGAGGGACCAGAGCGAACGGCUCAAAACGCCACGCUUGUGGCUGCGCUGCUCGGGGUUCCGGUGGCCCAUCCGCCGUUUCUAGGCCUUGGGGCCUCCGUGGCCCGGUGCGCCACGUGACGAUGCUAACCCCGACCCCGUAGGGCUGUCGCAGACAGAAAAUGAGACAAAAUACGCGAGGUCUUCUUUCCCUUUCCCUCCGCCACUCUUUUCUUGGGCCAGGAAACUUCUUGUCAUGAAACUCAAGGCCGGGUAGGAAGACAGUCCCCCUUGGAGCAUAAUUAAGCCACAUGGGUCCCCACUGGCAAGAGAGGAUCAGAGGGCACAGAAACGACUGCCACCCCCACGCCAGCGUGGCAUGGCCCGAAGGCAGGACCUCGAGAGAGAAAGAAAAAUCUAGAAACUGUUGGAGAGAGGAAGAGGGACUCCAUUCGGGGCAAAGGCCCAGGUGCAGGGACCCACACAGGGAUGGGGAUCCAACUGUGCAGAGUUCACGUGCUGGCCUGGUGCCCCUGACCGGGCCUCAUCUGGGCUGUGGGAAAGAGGGCACAGGGCGCAGGACAUGGCCCAACCACUGAGGUUGACCUCCAAAAGACCCUGGAAACGCAACAGAUUAACUCCCCAAGAGACUGUCUUUAAAGCAAAAGCACCCAGGGCUGCUGCGUGGCUCAGUCGCUUAAGCAUCCGGGUUCAGCUCAGGUCAUGAUCUCACGGUUCAGGGGUUCGAGUCCCAUGUCAGGCUCUGUGCUGAUGGCUCAGAGCCUGGAACCUGCUUCGGAUUCUGUGUCUCCCUUGCUCUCUGGCCCUCCCCUGCUCAUGCUUUCUUAACAAUAAAUAAAUGUUAAAAAAAAAAAAAAAAAAGGCAAAGUGGAGGUCCCAAAUGUCACCUUCGGGUGACAGCACGCCUUCCAGGUCAAGCCUGGGUAGUGAUGUUAGAAGGUAUUAACAUCCAGGGAAAGAAGGGGUCACUCCGAAGGGGUGAGUCAGCCGGGCCACUCAGGGACGAAACACCGGCCGGGGGUCUAGAAAGAGAGGGGCGCCCUUGCACUGCCACAGGUGGGCUUAAACCCGCUGGAGGCCAUGCUGUCCGGCGGUCUUCCCUGCGUGCCACCUGUCGCCAGGUUCACGUGACUGCCUCCCCCCUGCCCGCGCAGUCCAGGCUCGUCAGCAACACUGAUUAUAAUUGGGCUUCCCGCGGAGCUGUGUCUGUGGGGAAGCAGCCAGCCCACGAUCGUUCUGGAUUUCAUUACUUAUUUUGCAUGUGGUGUUGUCUUCACUGUUUCUAUUUUUUAUACAAGAAAUGUAUGCAUAAGGUUAAAGACCUAAAUAAUACGAUAAAAAGGAGUUAUA